CGACACAAGACCAUCAAACAAUUAAAUGUAUUCAAAAGUUCCUGUAGCUUGCCAGUUUUUACAGCAGCAUCGGAAUGACAGAAGAUCUGUAUUGGGUUCUGAGUUGGAUAGUUACUGCCUCUUCACCUCACUUGUCUUCACUAUCAACUUCCAUAACCAGUGAAAAAUAAUAAAAUAAUGGCAAUCAACCCUCUUCUGCUCUUGGCAUCUCAGCUUUUCCCCAGCCUUGACUCUCCACCUCAACUGGAUGUGUUGGAAACUGAAUCCUCAAUACAACAGUAUUGGGAGGUGGGACCUAAAGAGAGCUGACUUGGUUUAUGAGUGGUCUGCCCUCCUGAAUGGAUUCAUGUGGAUUCAUGCUGUUAUCCAGGAAG